GUUUUAUUUGUUGUGCUCGUAAUCGAGUUGCAUCCGGUAAAGCGAAUGAUUAGAAGUAUUGUGGACGAAACGUCCUCAACUUAUUCUCAAACUUAAAAUGGGUGAGAAGUGAGACUUGCUUAAGUCAAUCCUUACUUUUUUCGAAUCGGAGUACCUAGUGGGCCAUUUUUGCUAAGAAGAAUUGGCGCUGUGGGAUGAAUCA
rnacentral:rRNA from 1 species